GACUGGCAACGCGGGAGUCCCAGGCACGGGGGCUGAGAGUGGGCGUACGACCGGCCCUUACCGUCACACCUGAUCCGGGUCAUGCCGGCGAAGGGAGCUGAAAUGGCGCGAAC
rnacentral:ncRNA from 2 species